rnacentral:rRNA from 1 species
UACGUAGGGUGCGAGCGUUAAUCGGAAUUACUGGGCGUAAAGCGUGCGCAGGCGGUUUUGUAAGUCCGAUGUGAAAGCCCCGGGCUUAACCUGGGAAUGGCAUUUGGGACUGCAAGGCUUGAGUGCGGAAGAGGAGACUGGAAUUCCUGGUGUAGCAGUGAAAUGCGUAGAUAUCAGGAGGAAUACCGAUGGCGAAGGCAGGUCUCUGGGCUGACACUGACGCUCAUGCACGAAAGCGUGGGGAGCAAACAGG